rnacentral:rRNA from 1 species
UACGGAGGGUGCAAGCGUUAUCCGGAUUUACUGGGUUUAAAGGGUGUGUAGGCGGGCCUUUAAGUCUGGGGUGAAAUCUCCGAGCUCAACUCGGAAACUGCCCUGGAUACUAUCGGCCUUGAAUUAUGUUGAGGUUGGCGGAAUAUAACAUGUAGCGGUGAAAUGCAUAGAUAUGUUAUAGAACACCGAUUGCGAAGGCAGCUGACUAAGCAGAUAUUGACGCUGAGGCACGAAAGCGUGGGGAGCAAACAGG